rfam:Pteropus alecto contig27020, whole genome shotgun sequence.
CUCUACGGCCACGCCAACCUGAACGUGCCCGAUCCCGUCUGAUCUCGGGAGCUAAGCAGGGUCGGGCCUGGUUAGUACUUGGAUGGGAGACCACCUAGGAAAAUAAUAAAAAAUAAGGGAUUGUAAGCU